GUGCCAGCAGCCGCGGUAACAAGAAGAGUGUGAGCGUUGUCCGGAUUUAUUGGGCGUAAAGGGCUCGUAGGUGGUUGAUCGCGUCGGAAGUGUAAUCUUGGGGCUUAACCCUGAGCGUGCUUUCGAUACGGGUUGACUUGAGGAAGGUAGGGGAGAAUGGAAUUCCUGGUGGAGCGGUGGAAUGCGCAGAUAUCAGGAGGAACACCAGUGGCGAAGGCGGUUCUCUGGGCCUUUCCUGACGCUGAGGAGCGAAAGCGUGGGGAGCGAACAGGCUUAGAUACCCUGGUAGUCCACGCUGUAAACGGUGGGUACUAGGUGUGGGGUCCAUUCCACGGGUUCCGUGCCGUAGCUAACGCUUUAAGUACCCCGCCUGGGGAGUACGGCCGCAAGGCUAAAAACUCAAAGGAAUUGACGGGGGCCCCGCACAAGCGGCGGAGCAUGCGGAAUUAAUUCGAUGCAACGCGUAGAAACCUUACCUGGGGUUUUGACAUGGGAUCGGGAGUGCUCAGAAAAUGGGUUGUGCCUCUUUUUGGGGGUCGGUUCACAGGUGGGGGCAUGGCUUGUCGUCAGCUCCGUGUCGUGAGAUGGUUGGGUUAAGGUCCCCGCAACGAGCGCAACCCUUUGGUUCACUUGUUGCCAGGCACGUUAAUGGUGGGGGACUCCAGGGGAGACCCGCCGGGGUCCAACUCGAAAGGGAAGGUGGGGGAUGACGUCCAAGUCAUCAUGCCCCCUUAAUGUCCAGGGUUUCCCCCAUUGCCUACAUUGGCUGGUCAAGAGAGUGGCGAGCCCUUUAAGUGUGAGCAAACUCUCGGAAAGGCCGGGCCUCAGUUUCGGAUUGGGGGUUGCA
rnacentral:rRNA from 1 species